rnacentral:rRNA from 1 species
AUUGAACGCUGGCGGCAUGCUUUACACAUGCAAGUCGAACGGUAACAGGCCGCAAGGUGCUGACGAGUGGCGAACGGGUGAGUAAUGCAUCGGAACGUGCCCAGUCGUGGGGGAUAACUACUCGAAAGAGUAGCUAAUACCGCAUACGAUCUAUGGAUGAAAGCGGGGGACCGUAAGGCCUCGCGCGAUUGGAGCGGCCGAUGUCAGAUUAGGUAGUUGGUGGGGUAAAGGCUCACCAAGCCAACGAUCUGUAGCUGGUCUGAGAGGACAACCAGCCACACUGGGACUGAGACACGGCCCAGACUCCUACGGGAGGCAGCAGUGGGGAAUUUUGGACAAUGGGCGCAAGCCUGAUCCAGCAAUGCCGCGUGCAGGAAGAAGGCCUUCGGGUUGUAAACUGCUUUUGUAUGGAACGAAACGGCUCUGGUUAAUACCCGGGGCUAAUGACGGUACCGUAAGAAUAAGCACCGGCUAACUACGUG